UACAGAGGAGCCAAGCGUUGUCCGGAUUGACUGGGCGUAAAGCGCACGCAGGCGGACGCGCGCGUGGGGUGUGAAAUCUGGCCGCUUAACGGCCAGGCGCCAUCCCAUACGGCGCGUCUGGAGUGAUGCAGAGGUCGGUGGAAUUGCCGGUGUAGUGGUGAAAUGCGUAGAGAUCGGCAGGAACACCCAGGGGGAAACCAGCCGACUGGGCAUCUACUGACGCUGAGGUGCGAGAGCGUGGGGAGCGGACCGG
rnacentral:rRNA from 1 species